ensembl:lncRNA
CAAGAAUAUCGCGACAACAGAGAGAGGCAAGCUUUCGACUGUGCCUGCGACAGCGCCCUCAUGUGUGUGGAGGCUGUGCAGAAUGCCGCGGCCGCUAGUUGAGAGGCCGAGCUCCGGAAGUGCUGGCGCUGGUAAUGUGAGGUGCGGGCUCCUGGUAAUGAUGGUUCCCGAGGCUCUGAAGUCCGGAAACUGAUUCCUCUUUCUGCCCAAGAGUGCAAGAGUCCCAGGGGAGUCAUUAAUGAAGUCAGCUACGUCUAGUUUAUUCUGGAGACACCAGCACCUAAGGGAUUUGUCAGAGGACUGGUGCUAAAGCUCCAAUACUUUGGCUACCUGAAGUCAAGAGCUGACUCAUUGGAAAAGACCCUGAUGCUGGGAAAGACUGAGGUCAGAAGGAGAAGAAGGCAAGAGAAGACGAGAUGGUUGGAUGGCGUCACCAACUCAAUAGAUAUGAGUGUGAGCAAACUGGGAGAUAGUGAAGGACAGGGAAGACUUGUGUGCUGGAGUCCAUGAGUUUGCAAAGAGUUGGACACGACUUAGCGGCUGAACAGCAACACUAAGGUGUCAAUAUUGCUUUUUUCUCUUUCCAUCUUUGACUAAUCUGUUAAAUCCAUCCAGUGAUUUUGUUUGAAGUUUGAUUGCUAUGUUUUUUAUUUCUGAAAUAAAAA